UAUUUUAUAAAUUAAAUCACAGUUAGUUUAGGAAAUAAAAUUCAAAAGGGGCACCUGUUAUUAUUAGGAAACAUCGGUCAUAGGCCGAAGUUAAAAACAUUCAGCGCGAGUAGAUAUGGCCAAAGAAUUUGCACAAUGAAUGAUCGGCAGACUUGGGACCCAUGCCUGAAGAAACGAAAAGAAAACUCUCUCCUUAUUUAAUUAUAUGCAGUAAAAAGAAAUAGUAUGCUUUUAAUAAUAAUCAGGCAUACACUUUUCCUGCACACUUUCUCAUCUUUCUUUAAUUUCGUGCUUAGCAUGCUAAGCAACCCCAAAGUAUACAUAAAAUAAUAGAUUAGUGGACCAUUGAUUUGAUAUCUUAAGUUAUACGUUUAUCAUUGUUGAAAAAACGGAAGAUUUGACGCUGUCGCGGCCACAAACCCGCUGCAACAAACCAUUUGCAUUAAUUUAAUUUGGACCUGAAUUCUAAUUCUCUCCAGACAUGUUAAACUAAUCAAAGUUGCGUAAGAUAACGAAUACUAAUUAUUUAUCAAUAUUAAUUCUCAUAAAAAAAAAAGUAUCCGAAAAAACACUCUAUAUCAAGACGGCGCAAUGUUAUGCUACAUUUUAUAAUUCAAUGCAGAGUGUGCACAUUCUCUUUUAAGUAUUAGCGGACUUUCAUAAUUAAUUAAUUAAUUAAUUAAUUAAUACAUAUUUAAUUUGUUUGAAUCCACCAUUUUUUUUUUCCUUACAUGGGUAGUUAGGUGUUGCUUUGGAACAUCCUUUUUGUUUUUACACACUUAAUACGGUUAAUUUGUUUGAGAUUAGGAUUAGACAGUCAAUUAAUCAUUUUUAUUCAAACCAAACAAACGAUUCGAUAAUUCAAUUAUGAACGUUUUAAAUUUGAUCAAUUUUCUCGAUUUGAGAAUUUACAAAUAAACGAAACCCAACAGAAAAGCCAAAGAACCGCCCCCUAUGGUCACUGUUUAAAAUGAUAAAUUACUAAAUGCUAUAAUAAUAACAACAAUAAUAUUCACAAGGAAAAUUUUUUUGAUGGGAAAGCGAAGACUCGCGCGAUGUGGCUUGAUGGAUUUAAGCUUGAAAUUACGAGCACCGAUUGAUUUUCUUCAAAAUGGCCUGAGACUUUGCUAAAUGGGUCACGGGGGUUAGGUAGAAAUACAUGAAACACGGACACCCUCACAUGCCGUCGAUGGCCCACCAUUCUGACUCGUGCCUAAAAUUUCGGUCGUUUUCUCUCUCGUUCAUGUCAUUCGGCUUUUCCUUCAGCUCCACAAUCAUAGAAUUGUCAAAUUUAAUUUCUUUCUUCUUAUUGAAAGAAAAUUUACCCACGACAUUUUUCACAAGUACGUUUAGGGGUGGGCAUGGGUUGGUUUGGGUUGGAUUUUAAGUCAAUCCAAAUCAAACCAUAAAAAUUUGGAUCCAACCCAAACCAACCCAAAU
rnacentral:lncRNA from 1 species